GAAGCAACCAGGACAUAGUACCGGAAAAUGUGAUUACUGUGGGGUAGAGGAAACUGUGGAACAUGUUAUGUUUCAGUGUCCGAGGUAUCAGGUUGAGAGGAGACAUUUGAUUCAAAAUCUUAGUAACCUAAAAAUCAAACUGGAUCUGGUUGAUUUGUUGUGAAAGGAAUCGACCAUACUCCAUACCAGUUGGUGGCGGUAAUGCACCUUUCAAUUGUUUGCCAACCGCCAAUACAACUGUAAGAAAGAAAAGAAAGAAAGAAAAGAAGCAACCAGGACAGUUGUGAUAUACGAGCAAAACAGGAAAUGACUGGCGUGGAGCGAACAGAACCUAAAACUGAACACGAACCUGGAACUAGAGACCUGAAAACCUGGAAGCGUGAGGAGACCGAGAGGAGGGGUGACACGGGGCAUGACGAAGGGCAAAGGACAUCACACUCUGCUGCGGAGUCUGUCACACUGCUUCAAACACAGGAUACACCUGGAUACCUGUUCAGCCAAUCACAUUCAUUCCCUCUGCUCUGAUUCCCACGCCUCCUUCAUCAGGCUUCAUGGAUCCAGUUUAAAGCCUCUGAUGUGGGAAGGAGGAUUUAUAUGAAGGAAAUGAAACACUGUUGAACCAUGUGUGGAAUAAAUAAAUAAAUGAAAUAUUUUAAUCACCCUGUGCCUUUGGAGUGGGUGACACUCAGGGCUCAUUUCCUGUGGAAGAAAAAUCACAUAAUCUGUGAAAGGCCCCGUGUUCAGAGGCUGCCAGCCCCGCCCCUUCAUGCAGAUUAAACGCUGGGUUAAUUUAGCAAUUCGAUAACUGGCUUCCUGUGAACGUUUAGAUUUUAAAACUGCAGCCAUGUGAGGGCUUCAGAGAAGAAUCCCUCCCAGUGUGGAGCUGAAGAUCAGGAGUAAUCGCACCAGCAAGAGCAGAUUAAUCGCCGCCCUCGGGCUGCGGGCUGAAGUUUGCUCCAUUUUCAGCAUCUUCUUCCUGUCACAUUAACCCAGGGGUGGCUGUAGCUCAGGUGGCAGAGCAGGUCAGCGUUUAGGGGCAGCGUUUGCAGGGCGGUAACCAGGUAGCUGUCAUACGCCACUGUGGCAACUUAUCUGGGCCUUGGAACAGAAACAUCAGGCCCCCACCCCAGCCUUGCACCCCCCCACAGGUCACAGGAAAGUGCAAGCUUCCUGUGACACCUCCGUGGAAAAGCUGCCUCUCAGAAUCUGCA